UGGGGAAUAUUGCACAAUGGGCGGAAGCCUGAUGCAGCGACGCCGCGUGGGGGAUGACGGCCUUCGGGUUGUAAACCUCUUUCAGUGCAGAACAAGGCUCUUUGUGGGUUGAGGGUAUGCGCAGAAGAAGCGCCGGCUAACUACGUGCCAGCAGCCGCGGUAAUACGUAGGGCGCGAGCGUUGUCCGGAUUUAUUGGGCGUAAAGAGCUCGUAGGCGGUUUGUCGCGUCUGCUGUGAAAUCCUCUGGCUUAACUGGGGGCGUGCAGUGGGUACGGGCAGACUGGAGUGCGGUAGGGGAGACUGGAAUUCCUGGUGUAGCGGUGGAAUGCGCAGAUAUCAGGAGGAACACCGGUGGCGAAGGCGGGUCUCUGGGCCGUCACUGACGCUGAGGCACGAAAGCGUGGGGAUCGAACAG
rnacentral:rRNA from 1 species